CCAUACCCCAGUUCCACAAGCCACGUGGCUCAAAACAACAGAAAGGUAUCGUCUCACAGUCGUGGAGCCUAGAAGUUUGACGUGAACGUCUGAGCUCUCUCUGAAGGCCCGGGGGAACGAACCCUUCCUUGCCUCUUCCGGCUUCUGACAGUUGCCAACUAUCCUCGGCAUUCCUUGGCUCUUAGAUGCAUCACUUCUGUCUCCGCCUCUGUUGUCACAUGCUGUUUUCCCUGUGUGUCUCUCUCUGUCCCUUCUCGUCUUCUUAUAAGGGUACCCAUCAUAUUGGAUUAAGGGCCCACCCCACUCCAGUGUGAAUUCAUCUUAAUUUAAUUAGUUACAGCUUCAGUGACCCUUCCAAAUAAGAUCACAUCUUGAGGUUCCAGGGGGAACACGAAUUCGAGGCGAGGGAAAGACUAACCCAGUACAGCUAUCAGACUCCGCUGUGCUGCUUCUGGACCUCAGGGAAAGAUGCCAAUGACAGGAUCAAAUGACCUCUGCACAGGAAAGACGUUUAGAGGUCACGGAAUGGCUGGGCAGCAGAGGGUUAUAUCAAGUAUCUUUUGGACGAACCUUUGGAAAUAAACACAUGCUGAGUUGCCUUAUACUAUCGACCUGAAAUGUACACGGACCUGAAAAACAAAGGGAGUGGAACUAUUUUCUUUUUUUUUAAAGAUUUUAUUUUUUUAUUUUUUCCCCCCAAAGCCCCCCGGUACAUAGUUGUAUAUUCUUCGUUGUGGGUCCUUCUAGUUGUGGCAUGUGGGACGCCGCCUCAGCGUGGUUUGAUGAGCAGUGCCAGUCCACGCCCAGGAUUCGAACCAACGAAACACUGGGCCGCCUGCAGCAGAGCGCGCAAACUUAACCACUCAGCCAUGGGGCCAGCCCCAGGAGUGGAACUAUUUUGAAGAGCUAAAAGGGAGCCUUAGCAUUAAAUGAUUUCUUAGUUAAUAUAUUGACCUUGAAUGUGACCCCUAAGACCCAUGGCUUGUAGUCAUUUGUAAUUGGUUAGGGAGUGACCAGAGCUAUUACCUGUGGGUACAGAAUAACUCUUGAAAAAUGAUCACUUUGCGAAAAAACAGCCAUGAAAAUGAAGCUAAGUGCUCCAGAAAUUCUUUUCUUUCUUUCUUUUGAGGAAGAUUAGUCCUGAGCUAACAUCUGCUGCCAAUCUUCCUCUUUUUUGCUGAGGAAGACUGGCCCUGAGCUAACAUCCAUGUUCAUCUUCCUCUACUUUAUAUGUGGGACGCCUACCACAGCAUGGCUUGCCAAGCGGUGCCAUGUCCACACCCGGGAUCCGAACCAGGGAACCCCGGGCCGCCGAAGCGGAACGUGCACACUUAACCGCUGUGCCACUGGGCCAGCCCAACACAAAUUAUUUUCUCCUGCAUUUCUAGACUCAGUAAAUGUCUAAAAGGGCCGCUUUUCCCACUACCUCUUUAUACUUUUCUAAAGCUUAUAGGGAAAAUUUAAUGUAUUUUCCAACGUAUAUCCUCAAAUGUGGGGGAAUAUGUUUUUAAACUUUUCUUCUUGAAGUGAAAUUCACAUAACAGAAAAUUAAGCACUUGAGAGUGAACAAUGCAGUGGCACGCACGCUCACCAUGUUGUCCAACCACCACCUCUAUCUAGUUCCAAAACCUUUUCAUCACCCAAAAAGUGAUGAUUUAUAUCUUAUAAAUCCCCCAGAGUCUACCAUGACUUUGCUAGGCACACAGUUCCAAAAGAACUGGAAAAGUUUAGCUUUACAGCUUAAUAUAACUUAGUAUAAACAAUUCUUUCCAUCAUUUAAGAACUAUCAUAAACUUCGUUCAUUAGGUGAUCAUUCAUUACCAACAUCACGUUGCAGGACAUCCUUUCAUUCCUGGUGCCUGUCCUGUGUGCCAGUAAUAACUCCC
ensembl:lncRNA